rnacentral:rRNA from 1 species
AAUCAACGCUGGCGGCGUGCCUAACACAUGCAAGUCGCACGAGAAAGGGACUUCGGUCCCGAGUAAAGUGGCGCACGGGUGAGUAACACGUGAAUAAUCUACCUCCGAGUGGGGAAUAACUGAGAGAAAUCUUAGCUAAUACCGCAUAACACUUACGAGUCAAAGCAGCAAUGCGCUUGGAGAGGAGUUCGCGGCCGAUUAGUUAGUUGGCGGGGUAAUGGCCCACCAAGACGAUGAUCGGUAUCCGGCCUGAGAGGGCGCACGGACACACUGGAACUGAAACACGGUCCAGACUCCUACGGGAGGCAGCAGUGGGGAAUUUUGCGCAAUGGGGGAAACCCUGACGCAGCAACGCCGCGUGGAGGAUGAAAUCCCUUGGGAUGUAAACUCCUUUCGAUAGGGAAGAUAAUGACGGUACCUAUAGAAGAAGCCCCGGCUAACUUCGUGCCAGCAGCCGCGGUAAUACGAGGGGGGCAAGCGUUGUUCGGAAUUAUUGGGCGUAAAGGGUGCGUAGGCGGUUUGGCAAGUCUUAUGUGAAAUCUUCGGGCUCAACCCGAAGCCUGCAUGAGAAACUGCCGGGCUUGAGUAUGGGAGAGGUGAGUGGAAUUUCCGGUGUAGCGGUGAAAUGCGUAGAUAUCGGAAGGAACACCUGUGGCGAAAGCGGCUCACUGGACCAUAACUGACGCUGAUGCACGAAAGCUAGGGGAGCAAACAGGAUUAGAUACCCUGGUAGUCCUAGCCCUAAACGAUGAUUGCUUGGUGUGGCAGGUACCCAAUCCUGCCGUGCCGAAGCUAACGCGAUAAGCAAUCCGCCUGGGGAGUACGGUCGCAAGGCUG